rnacentral:rRNA from 1 species
AUUGAACGCUGGCGGCAUGCCUUACACAUGCAAGUCGAACGGCAGCACGGGUGCUUGCACCUGGUGGCGAGUGGCGAACGGGUGAGUAAUACAUCGGAACGUACCUUAUCGUGGGGGAUAACGCAGCGAAAGCUGUGCUAAUACCGCAUACGCCCUGAGGGGGAAAGCGGGGGAUCGCAAGACCUCGCGCGAUUAGAGCGGCCGAUGCCUGAUUAGCUUGUUGGUGGGGUAAAAGCCCACCAAGGCGACGAUCAGUAGCUGGUCUGAGAGGACGAUCAGCCACACUGGGACUGAGACACGGCCCAGACUCCUCCGGGAGGCAGCAGUGGGGAAUUUUGGACAAUGGGGGCAACCCUGAUCCAGCAAUGCCGCGUGAGUGAAGAAGGCCUUCGGGUUGUAAAGCUCUUUUGUCAGGGAAGAAGCACCGGCUCUAACACAGUCCGGGAAUGACGGUACCUGAAGAAUAAGCACCGGCUAACUACGUGCCAGCAGCCGCCGUAA